rnacentral:lncRNA from 1 species
AUAUUCUUAUAUAGUUAGAAAACCGAAUUAUAGCCAUAUUGGCAUUCUCACUAUAAAUGAAGUGUGAGAGAAAUCCAGAGACCUUUGAAAUGGAAAAGCCUGGGAGACUGCAAAGAUUCCACCAGCAGUAGAGGGGAUGGACUGAAAAGGUUUGGAACCUUGGAAAAGGGAACAACCCAGGAGUCAGUUGGUCAGCUCUCUCUUGACUUGAGACUUCUGGAGGAGAGGUCAAUCUAUAAUUGUAUCCUGAUCCAAGAAAUCUUUCCUUCCCUGAACCUGAUCACAAUCCUCCCAAACCAGUUUCUUGAAUACUGAAGAAUUUCACCUCUAUGUUGAGUCUUCUCUAAAGAAGAUAAAAAAGACUUAGAAAAUGAUGAACCAUCUUAAGAAGAAUUUGAUUGUUGUCAUCUGAACUUUUUUACUGUUGUUGUUUUUGAAGAGGUGCCUUGGCAGGAGUGGUGGCUCAGAACCUGUGAUUUUAUCUGGAUAGGGGACCAGUACUUUUGGUGUGAAAAUUCCCUCUACCAUUCUGUACUGUUGCUUCCCUGCUGGCUGCCUGGUCAGAGCCCCGAACUUCUGUGCUGGUACCAAGGCACUCUGUCACUGCUGCAGCCUUCACCCUGGAAUCCUAGUCAGCUGGAUUCUUACCACAGGUCUCAGUGCAGUAGAUGUGGAGGGACAUUGGAGACUGAGCUUUUCUGUCCUUUGCUGGCUUAUUAUCUAAAUUAUUGCUAG